rnacentral:misc_RNA from 1 species
GAAUUUUAUUUUAAGCAACAUUAUUAAUGAAAAACAAUUCAUUCGACUAUUACAAUAAUUAAACUUUAUAUUUCACGCAAGCGCUCUCCAGCAGCAGCUGCAGCAGUUUCUUGAAACUAAUAUUAGUAUCACCAUAAAUGAUCUCAAGAAAAGCAUGCCUUUCCUCCUCCCUGCACAGAGCCCUUUGCUUACUCUGCUCAUUCAAUACCUUCGCUUCGAUUAUAUUCUAUUCUCAUUCCUCCAAAGCUUGCAAAUAUAUUGUGAAAUUAGAAAUUGAAUUAUAUUCCCAAGAAUUCAUGCUUAUCAAGAGCUCACCAACCAAAAAAAUUACAGGAACUAGGGUCAAGGAGAACAAGUAAAUCUCCAUUCUAGGAUUUCAUAAGAUUAAAUUAGUUAGUGAACUAGGCUAACUUCAGUCGGGCUAGGCUUGGAAAACCUUUAGCCUCGUCGUCGUCUGAAAGAUACUGUUAUUGCCAAUUUCAACUGGCUUCCCAGAUUCACUUGUUGGGCCCAAAACUGCUGCAACAAUUGCCUCCUCGAAGUCCUUGUUGUCGGGCAGCAGCUCAGACAAUCUUUCCUCUGUUUCAUCGGAUAGCCUUCUUGACUUGGUUUCUGGGUUGUCAGGCUCCACUGAUGGCACAUUGAACACCCCCAUUUCAUUCCCUCGGUUUGAAUUAGCAGCAUUUCCUGACCUUGUUCUCUUAAGGGUCUCAUGGAAUUGAUUUCCCAUUGGCUCUUCUGCCAUUUUCCUGGCAUAGAACGGGGGCGCAUCUACAUUCAGUGAAUUCCCAAAAAGAGCAAACUCUUUGAUACUUUUUUGCUGUGAAAGCAACGUCUGAUAGGCUACUAUAUUCGAAUCUAUGUUCUCAUCGGCAAAAUCAUCAUGCAAUUUGCUUGAAUUUGCAAUUGGCAAGCUGCUAUGAUCCUUGCAGGGCUGAGGCUGCCAAAUCGACGAAGAACCAAGAAAGGCAUCGAAGAGCCUACUCUGUUCAACCCGGUCUCCUGCCUUGUUCAUCAUCUCCGAUUCAAGAUCCUUAAGCAUCUGCUGUGCUCUUUCAUAGGCUUUGAGAUGCGAAUCCACACCUCUUGGGCCAUCAGCAACUGCUGGCUUCACUCGUCGCAAUGUAUCCUUAGCCUCUGCAAUUCUCCCUUGCUUCAUCAAGCAUAUACCAAGAUUGCACAUCUUAUUGUUAUCAGCUGCAAUUGAAAGUGCCCGCCGAUAGGCAUCUUCUGCUUCAACGUAGUUAUUUUGUUGCAUCAAUGCCCAUCCCAAGUUCCCCAGUAACGAGUUGCUUCUUGUUCCACAGAUACCUGAAAUUUCUUGCUUCUUGUUCCACAGAUACCUGAAAUUUCUUGCUUCUUGUUCCACAGAUACCUGAAAUUUCUUCCCUUGAGACCUGGCUGUCUUUGUGUGUUUCCUGUUGAAAUCAAGCCCUUGUUGGAUCAAGUAUAUUUUGUGCUUCAACAAUGCUAUUUGGUCAUCCAAUCUCCCACAUCUCUACAAGAUCAUUUAGCACAUAAAAACAACAAAACGAGACAAAUGACCAGAGAAUAAUUAAACAUUACAUAUUGGGAUUUAGUCGGAAACCUUGUAAAGAUCCAAAAGAAUAUUGUCAAGGGACUCUUGCGCUUGAUCUGAACAUCGGUUUCGUAAUGACUUGAUAGCUUCAAUGGCUUCCUCAGCCCGAUUCUGUUGCUUCAUGACAAUGGCCAUAUCUUUCAAAGCACUAUCCACUCUAUCCCCAGCAUUUAUAGCUGCCCAAAAUAAGGGAAUCGCCUUCUCUGGGUCUUUAUCUACCAAUUGAACAUUUUUUGCUCUCACAUAAGGACUGUCACCCACAGGGACUUUGUGGAUGGCAUGAAAGGACUCAGAGCGAGUUCUGGACACCCCAAGAGGCUUGGCUGGUGAAGUGGGAGCAGAUUUGGUGGGUCUGAAACCAGGAGGAGCAGUCCACAUAUCUUGCAGCAUAUUUGAAAGCAAAAUUAAAGACCCCUUUUCCCUCUUCUCGUCUAUUUGCCUGGGGAAAGAGAGUAAAGAUAAGAAGAUAACAGUGAAGAAUGAGAAGAGACGUAGGAGAAGAGGAGGGAAGGCUUAGAGAAAGACACUGAGAAAUACGGAGGAAGGUGGUGAU